rnacentral:lncRNA from 1 species
AGUUGGGUGCAGUGAGCAGCGAGAUUAAAAUUUCACCCCGCUGGAAGUCACAGUUACGAGAACCCAAGACCUAAUCUGCUGGCAAAAAGAAAAUGGGAGUCUCGCCAUCUUGCCCAGGCUCAUUUCAAACUCCUGAGCACAAGCGAUCCUUCAUCUUGGCGUCCUGAACUGCUGGGAUUAAAGAGACGGGGUUUCACCAUAUUGGGCAGGCUGGUCUCGAACUCCUGACCUCAAGCGAUCCACCCGCCUUGACCUCUCGAAGUUCUGGGAUUACAACUGUGAACCACUGCACCCGGCCCAUAAGUUAUUUAAAUGAUGGAAAAAUUCUAUAAAGAGAAAAUUCCACCUCCUCUACUGUUAGUGGUGAAGCUCACAUAAGAAAGGUCAAAAGAACUCAAGAGCCAAUUUGAGGACAUUCUGAUUAGCUAAAGUAUGACAAUCUGAGCAUCAGUAAGAUCAUCAAUUACAAACCAUUUUGAAAAAUCGUAUUGCUAGUGAUAAUCUUGGUAUUGCUAUUCUGAGAUAGUUGAGUUUGCAUUGUGAAAUAAAGCAAAUAUGUAUUUAUUUGAUAAUCUGAUUCUGUCAUUCUUGGUGUAAAUAAGAAAGGGGAUUCGUGGCAUGGAAAAAAUGAAAUAAAGUUAUAAGUUGAACGUGUUAAAUAAAAUUAUAACACCUGAUAUGGCAUGAUUUCAAAAUGUCCACAAAAAUUCAUAUUAGCAUAUAUUUAUGUUCCUGAAUAUCAGUAUGCACUCAUGACUCAGUCUGUGCACUAAAAUUCCUAAAAACAAUCACUAAUCCAAGCGAAAUUAGCAACCCUAAUGCCCAGAUGGUCGUCUGUCAACACCACUUUUCACUUAAAGGAUGCAGUAAGCCUCCUCAGAAAAACAGUCGUUCCCCCAGAACGACAAACUGCCUUUAAGAGUCAUUUCUU